CACCGAUUUUGAACAGUGGGAAGAGCUUACAUAUGAUUACAGGUUUACCUCUUCUCCAAAUGAGGCAGAGGGAGCAAUUGCUGUUAUUAUUAUUAGGAGUGUUUGGAAAGCAUCCUUGAAUAUCUUGCUGAUCAGAAGGACCCUACUACUUUAUGCCAGAAAUUUAUUGAUGAGUUUGAUCGAUCAUCCUCAGUUAUUUCGCAUUUAAUUGGAACCAAGCUUCUUAUAUGAUUAGUCAGGGUGUAAAAUGUGGUAUUUAUGGUGCCAAUUCUGCAGAAUGGAUUAUGAGCAUGCAGGUGUUGGGGCUAUAGAGUUUAUUAUAUGCCAUUCAGAGGUCUCAAUUGCACUUGCAGAAGAGAAGAAGAUACCUGAGCUAUUCAAGACAUUUCCAAAUGCAACAAAGUAUCUCAAGAGAUCAAACUCAGAGCUUUGAACUUCCUAUUAAGAAAAGGAUGUAUACAUAUCAUACCUUCCACUCGCACAUACUUUUUUUAGGACCAUUGAGGAGAUAUUCAUAUGGCAUGGUGCUUCAAUUGGUUUCUGGCGUGGGGAUGUCAAAUUGUUAAUUGAUGAUGUUGGGGAACUAAAACCAACUAUUUUCUGUGUUGUUCCCCGUGUGCUUGAUAGAGUGUACUCAGGUUUGACACAGAAGAUUUCUUCUGGGGGCUUCUUGAGGAAGACAUUAAAGAAAGACAGUAGAAUCUCCUUUUAUGUUUAUUAUUAUUUUCAAAACUCAAAAAGAAAGACAGAUUUGAA